rnacentral:rRNA from 1 species
GCAAGUCGAACGGUAACGGGCCUUCGGGUGCCGACGAGUGGCGAACGGGUGAGUAAUGUAUCGGAACGUACCUUUCAGUGGGGGAUAACGUAGCGAAAGUUACGCUAAUACCGCAUAUCCUGUGAGCAGGGAAAGCAGGGGAUCGCAAGACCUUGCGCUGAUUGAGCGGCCGAUAUCAGAUUAGCUAGUUGGUGAGGUAAAAGGCUCACCAAGGCGACGAUCUGUAGCGGGUCUGUAGAGGAUGAUCCGCCACACUGGAACUGAGACACGGUCCAGACUCCUACGGGAGGCAGCAGUGGGGAAUUUUGGACAAUGGGGGCAACCCUGACCCAGCCAUGCCGCGUGAAGUGAAGAAGGCCUUCGGGUUGUAAAGCUCUUUCGGCCGGGAAGAAAUCGUAUGGGUUAAUACCCUGUGCGGAUGACGGUACCGGCAUAAGAAGCACCGGCUAACUACGUG